AGAGGGUAGUUUGGCGAAAGGAUACCUUGCAAAUGAAUGCUUGACAUUUUGCUCGAGGUAUAUGGAAGAUGUUGAGACACGGUUCAACCGGAUGUCUUGAAAUUAUGAUGAGGGGGUAAUGGCACCGAAGGAUUUUCUAUUUUCUCAAUGCCUGGCCGACCAUUAGGUAAGGGCGUGAUAGACACAAUGGAUGAUGGCACAAAAGAAAAGGCACAUCAAUAUGUGCUAUUUAAUUGUGAGACAGUCAACAAAUUUAUUGAACAACACCGUAGACUUGUUGCCAUACAAAAUCCACGUCUUCGUGAAAUGGCCAUUGAUCGCAUUCAUAGUGAAACAUUUCCAACAUGGUUUGAUAAACAUGUUGAGGAAUUGCAUAAUGCAGGGGAUAGUCAAAUAACUGAAGAGCUUAGAUGUUUGGCUCAUGGUCCAAAUAGAAUUUUCACAAAAUAUAAGUGAUACUUGAUAAAUGGUUUUAGGUUCCAUACUAAGGAGAUCGAGCGAAAGAGAAAAACUCAAAAUAGUGGGAUUAUUGUCACGACAAAAACACGAAGCUUUGCAAGUGGUAGAGAUGGAAAUCCAGUCUCUGGAGAUGUUACAUUUUAUGGUGUGUUAACAGAUAUAAUUGAGUUAGAUUAUUUGUUUGGGAGGAGGGUCGUGUUAUUUAAAGGUGAAUGGGUGUCACAAACAGGGAAAAGACAAGAUAAAGAUUGCACACUAGUCAACUUUGCACGAUUAAUGAAAGAUGCUGAGCCUUUUGUAUUGCCUUCUCAAGCAGAACAGGUAAUGUAUGUAGAAGACCUGAAACACAAAGAUUGACAAGUUGCUAUCAAGAUAAAUUCGAGAGAUUUUUAUGAUAUGAAUGCGGGGUCUUUUGUGGACAAUGUGGAGGCAUACCUGCAGAGUGUUGUAUGCAAUACACAAAGUGGUGAUGGGGACAAUAAUUUUGAUUUAGUUCAGACAGACAUG